rnacentral:rRNA from 1 species
AGAGUUUGAUCCUGGCUCAGGAUGAACGCUAGCGGCAGGCCUAACACAUGCAAGUCGAGGGGCAUCACGGAAAAGCUUGCUUUUCUGGUGGCGACCGGCGCACGGGUGCGGAACGCGUAUGGAACCUGCCCCUGUCAGGGGAAUAGCCCAGGGAAACUUGGAUUAAUGCCCCAUGGUACCACGACAUCGCAUGAUGAUGUGGUUAAAGAUUUAUCGGACAGGGAUGGCCAUGCGUACCAUUAGUUAGUUGGUAAGGUAACGGCUUACCAAGGCAGCGAUGGUUAGGGGCCCUGAGAGGGGGAUCCCCCACACUGGUACUGAGACACGGACCAGACUCCUACGGGAGGCAGCAGUGAGGAAUAUUGGACAAUGGGCGGGAGCCUGAUCCAGCCAUGCCGCGUGCAGGAUGACUGCCCUAUGGGUUGUAAACUGCUUUUAUACGGGAAGAAACCUCCCCUUGCGAGGGGAGCUGACGGUACCGUAAGAAUAAGGACCGGCUAACUCCGUGCCAGCAGCCGCGGUAAUACGGAGGGUCCGAGCGUUAUCCGGAAUCAUUGGGUUUAAAGGGUCCGUAGGCGGGCCGUUAAGUCAGGGGUGAAAGUCUGCGGCUCAACCGUAGAAUUGCCUUUGAUACUGGCGGUCUUGAGUCAUGGUGGGGUUGCCGGAACAUGUGGUGUAGCGGUGAAAUGCAUAGAUAUCACAUAGAACACCGAUCGCGAAGGCAGGUGACCAACCAUGUACUGACGCUGAUGGACGAAAGCGUGGGUAGCGAACGGGAUUAGAUACCCCGGUAGUCCACGCCGUAAACGAUGGAUACUAGCUGUGGGGACCUCGGUCUCCGUGGCCAAGCGAAAGUGAUAAGUAUCCCACCUGGGGAGUACGUUCGCAAGAAUGAAACUCAAAGGAAUUGACGGGGGCCCGCACAAGCGGUGGAGCAUGUGGUUUAAUUCGAUGAUACGCGAGGAACCUUACCAGGGCUUAAAUGCAGGCUGCAUGGGGUGGAGACACCCCUUUCUUCGGACCGCCUGCAAGGUGCUGCAUGGUUGUCGUCAGCUCGUGCCGUGAGGUGUCAGGUUAAGUCCUAUAACGAGCGCAACCCCUACCG